rnacentral:tRNA from 1 species
GCCGAAGUGGUGGAACUGGCAGACACGCUGUGUUCAGGGCGCAGUGCUCAAACGGGUGUGUGGGUUCGAAUCCCACCUUCGGCA